rnacentral:rRNA from 1 species
UACGGAGGAUGCAAGCGUUAUCCGGAAUGAUUGGGCGUAAAGCGUCCGCAGGUGGCUAUGUAAGUCUGCUGUUAAAGAGUGAGGCUCAACCUCAUAAGAGCAGUGGAAACUACAUGGCUAGAGUGCGUUCGGGGCAGAGGGAAUUCCUGGUGUAGCGGUGAAAUGCGUAGAGAUCAGGAAGAACACCAGUGGCGAAGGCGCUCUACUGGGCCACAACUGACGCUGAGGGACGAAAGCUAGGGGAGCGAAAGGG